rnacentral:rRNA from 1 species
UACGUAGGGUGCGAGCGUUAAUCGGAAUUACUGGGCGUAAAGCGUGCGCAGGCGGUCUGUUAAGACAGAUGUGAAAUCCCCGGGCUUAACCUGGGAACUGCAUUUGUGACUGCAUAGCUAGAGUACGGCAGAGGGGGAUGGAAUUCCGCGUGUAGCAGUGAAAUGCGUAGAUAUGCGGAGGAACACCGAUGGCGAAGGCAAUCCCCUGGGCCUGUACUGACGCUCAUGCACGAAAGCGUGGGGAGCGAACGGG